rnacentral:rRNA from 1 species
CAGCCGCCGCGGGAAUACGGAGGGUGCAAGCGUUAAUCGGAAUUACUGGGCGUAAAGCGCACGCAGGCGGUCUGUCAAGUCAGAUGUGAAAUCCCCGGGCUUAACCUGGGAACUGCCUCCAAAACUGGCUGACUAGAGUACGGUAGAGGGUGGUGGAAUUUCCUGUGUAGCGGUGAAAUGCGUAGAUAUAGGAAGGAACACCAGUGGCGAAGGCGACCACCUGGACUGAUACUGACACUGAGGUGCGAAAGCGUGGGGAGCAAACAGGAUUAGAUACCCCAGUAGUCCCUGUCUCUUAUAC